ACAGAGUAAUGAACAAAAAGGAGAACACUUGGAUCCUCAAUUGACCUAUUCUGCAAACAAUUACAUUCAAACUAAAGGAUGAUCCAGAAACAACCUAACAGAAAUACUUCGAGGACGAGGUAAUGAAGCAUAACAAACAAUUUACUGUACAAAAGGGUUGACUCAAGCUUUUGCACAAAAGAAAAAUGCCCAAUCUCUCUCAAACUAACAAGCCACUUACAUUUUUAAGUCAUCUAUAGUACAAAUUCAACAACAUACUUAAGGUUAAUAGCUUUUCACAAAGAGAAUCAUAUACAGCAUGCAACUACUCUCCCUUUCUCAAGCAACAACUAAACCCUUGGGAGCUACAACAGCGGUCUGCUGAGAAUUGUUGGCUGCAACCAGAGGUGACGGCCCCACUUUGCCAUCUUUUUCGGUUUCUGAUGAAGGUGGUGGUGGUGGUGGUGGUGGCGGAUUCAUGUGGGGUGGUGGAUUAUGCUUGAGCUUCACGAGUAUAUGGCGCAUCCUUGAAAGAUCGGUUGGCUUGCCCGGUUUUGGGCCUGGAUCACAGCAAUGGAAGGCUGCUUUGCUUUCUCCUUUUUUCCUCUCU